GGUGAAGAACGUAGUGAAAUGCGAUAAGUAGUGUGAAUUGCAGAAUUCAGAGAAUCAUCGAAUCUUUGAACGCACAUUGCGCCUCCUGGUAUUCCGGGAGGCAUGCCUGUUCGAGCGUCAUUAAAAUCACUCAAGCUUAGGUUUACCUAUUGCUUGGUCUUGGAGAUGGAAGCCAAUUUAUUGGAAUCCUCUUCGAAAUUCAAUGGCGAAGACCCUUGCUCUCCCAAGUGUAGUAUUAACUUAUGUCACUGAAGGAAGCGAGAAAUCUUCUGCCGUAACCCCCAUAUUUUCUAUGAUUGACCUCGGAUCAGGUAGGGAUACCCGCUGAACUUAAGCAUAUCAAUAAGCGGAGGA
rnacentral:misc_RNA from 1 species